rnacentral:tRNA from 1 species
GUUAAGGUGGCAGAGCCCGGUAAUUGCGUAAAACUUAAAACUUUAUAAUACCUUUAUAAUCAGAGAUUCAAAUCCUCUCCUUAACA